AGAACGAACGCUGGCGGCAUGCCUAACACAUGCAAGUCGAACGCUCGGGGUUUCGGCCCCGGGAGUGGCGCACGGGUGAGUAACGCGUGGGAACCUGCCCAGGAGUGGGGGAUAACCGAGGGAAACUUCGGCUAAUACCGCAUACGACCUGAGGGUGAAAGAUUUAUCGCUCUUGGAGGGGCCCGCGUCGGAUUAGGUAGUUGGUGGGAUAACGGCCUACCAAGCCUGUGAUCCGUAGCUGGUCUGAGAGGAUGAUCAGCCACACUGGGACUGAGACACGGCCCAGACUCCUACGGGAGGCAGCAGUGGGGAAUAUUGGACAAUGGGCGCAAGCCUGAUCCAGCAAUGCCGCGUGGGUGAUGAAGGCCUUAGGGUUGUAAAGCCCUUUCGGCGGGGACGAUGAUGACGGUACCCGCAGAAGAAGCCCCGGCUAACUUCGUGCCAGCAGCCGC
rnacentral:rRNA from 1 species